rnacentral:rRNA from 1 species
UGCGUAGGGUGCAAGCGUUGUCCGGAUUUACUGGGUUUAAAGGGUGCGUAGGUGGGGUUUUAAGUCUGAGAUGAAAUACUGGUGCUCAACGCCGGUGCUGUUUCAGAUACUGAAAUUCUAGAGUUAAGUUGAGGCAGCUGGAAUGAGUGGUGUAGCGGUGAAAUGCGUAGAGAUCACUCAGAACACCGAUUGCGAAGGCAGGUUGCUAGGCUUAUACUGACAAUGAGGCACGAAAGCGUGGGGAUCAAACAGG